GACGAACGCUGGCGGCGUGCCUAACACAUGCAAGUCGAGCGAGUGAAUCUCCUUCGGGAGUGAAGCUAGCGGCGGACGGGUGAGUAACACGUGGGCAACCUGCCUCAUAGAGGGGAAUAGCCUUUCGAAAGGAAGAUUAAUACCGCAUAAGAUUGUAGCUUCGCAUGAAGUAGCAAUUAAAGGAGCAAUCCGCUAUGAGAUGGGCCCGCGGCGCAUUAGCUAGUUGGUGAGAUAACGGCUCACCAAGGCGACGAUGCGUAGCCGACCUGAGAGGGUGAUCGGCCACAUUGGGACUGAGACACGGCCCAGACUCCUACGGGAGGCAGCAGUGGGGAAUAUUGCACAAUGGGGGAAACCCUGAUGCAGCAACGCCGCGUGAGUGAUGACGGCCUUCGGGUUGUAAAGCUCUGUCUUCAGGGACGAUAAUGACGGUACCUGAGGAGGAAGCCACGGCUAACUACGUG
rnacentral:rRNA from 1 species